GACGAACGCUGGCGGCGUGCCUAAUACAUGCAAGUCGAACGCAGUGGGGACGGGUGAGUAACACGUGGGUAACCUCCCAUCAGAGGGGAUAACACUUGGAAACAGGUGCUAAACCGAUACUGAUGGAUGGACCCGCGGUGCAUUAGCUAGUUGGUGGGGUAACGGCUCACCAAGGCCACGAUGCAUAGGCGACCCGGGAGGGUGAUACGGCAACCUGGGACGGAGAAACGGCCCAGACUCCUAACGGAGGGAAGAGGUGGGAAUCUUCCGCAAUGGGCCAAAGUCUGACCGAGCAACGCCGCGUUGAUUAAAAAGGUUUUCGGAUCCGAAAACCCUGUUUGUAGAGAAGAGGUAUCUUACCCGAAAGCCAAGGCUAACUACGUGCCAGCAGCCGCGGUAAUAC
rnacentral:rRNA from 1 species